ACUACGGGUGGCAGCAGUGGGGAAUAUUGGGCAAUGGGCGCAAGCCUGACCCAGCAACGCCGCGUGAAGGAAGAAGGCUUUCGGGUUGUAAACUUCUUUUGUCAGGGACGAAGCAAGUGACGGUACCUGACGAAUAAGCCACGGCUAACUACGUGCCAGCAGCCGCGGUAAUACGUAGGUGGCAAGCGUUAUCCGGAUUUACUGGGUGUAAAGGGCGUGUAGGCGGGGAAGCAAGUCAGAUGUGAAAACCACGGGCUCAACCUGUGGCCUGCAUUUGAAACUGUUUUUCUUGAGUGCUGGAGAGGCAAUCGGAAUUCCGUGUGUAGCGGUGAAAUGCGUAGAUAUACGGAGGAACACCAGUGGCGAAGGCGGAUUGCUGGACAGUAACUGACGCUGAGGCGCGAAAGCGUGGGGAGCAAACAGGAUUAGAUACCCCAGUAGUC
rnacentral:rRNA from 1 species